UACGUAGGGUGCAAGGCGUUGUCCGGAAUUAAUUGGGCGUAAAAGAGCUCGUAGGCGGUUUGUCGCGUCUGCUGUGAAAACUGGAGGCUCAACCUCCAGCCUGCAGUGGGUACGGGCAGACUAGAGUGCGGUAGGGGAGGAUUGGAAUUCCUGGUGUAGCGGUGGAAAUGCGCAGAUAUCAGGAGGAACACCGAUGGCGAAGGCAGAUCUCUGGGCCGUAACUGACGCUGAGGAGCGAAAGCAUGGGGAGCGAACAGG
rnacentral:rRNA from 1 species